UACGUAGGGCGCAAGCGUUGUCCGGAAUUAUUGGGCGUAAAGAGCUCGUAGGCGGCUUGUCACGUCUGCUGUGAAAUCCCGGGGCCUCAACCCCGGGCCGUGCAGUGGAUACGGGCUGGCUAGAGGCAGGCAGGGGGAGAACGGAAUUCCCGGUCGUAGCGGUGAAAUGCGCAGAUAUCGGGAGGAACACCGGUGGCGAAGGCGGUUCUCUGGGCCUGUACUGACGCUGAGGAGCGAAAGCUAGGGGAGCAAACGGG
rnacentral:rRNA from 1 species